UAUUAUUUAAAAUUAAUUUAAAUUAAUUAGAACAUUAAAUGUUAAUCAUUAAAUUUAAAAAAUUUGACGGUAAUUUUUCUUAUUAGGGGAAUUUGUUUGAAAUUUGAUAAUCCACAUUAAAAUAGACUUUUUUUUCUUACUUAUAUACUUCUGUAUAACUAUUAUUUUAAAAUAAUUAAUUUAUGUAAAUUAAUUUAAUUUAUAUUUCAAGUCAAAGUUUAGUUUUAAAAAAGAGAGAAUGAAUUAUAUUAAAUUAUUUUAUAAUAAUUAGUUUAAAUAAUUAAAAUUUAAUAAUAAAUAAAAAUAAUUAUUUUUAUUGAAUUUGAAAAAAAUUAUGUACAUAUCGCCCGUCGCUUCUAAUAAAAAUAGG
rnacentral:rRNA from 1 species